rnacentral:rRNA from 2 species
UGGGGGAUAUUGCACAAUGGGCGAAAGCCUGAUGCAGCGACGCCGCGUGGGGGAUGAAGGCUUUCGGGUUGUAAACCUCUUUCGCUAUCGAACAAGGCCCGCUUAGGGUGGGUUGAGGGUAGGUGGAGAAGAAGCGCCGGCUAACUACGUGCCAGCAGCCGCGGUAAUACGUAGGGCGCGAGCGUUGUCCGGAAUUAUUGGGCGUAAAGGGCUUGUAGGCGGCUUGUUGCGCCUGCUGUGAAAACGCGGGGCUUAACUUCGCGCGUGCAGUGGGUACGGGCAGGGUUGAGUGUGGUAGGGGUGACUGGAAUUCCAGGUGUAGCGGUGGAAUGCGCAGAUAUCUGGAGGAACACCGAUGGCGAAGGCAGGUCACUGGGCCAUUACUGACGCUGAGGAGCGAAAGCAUGGGUAGCGAACAGG